rnacentral:rRNA from 1 species
GACGAACCGUGCGAACGUUGUUCGGAAUUACUGGGCGUAAAGCGUGCGCAGGCGGUUCGUUAUGUCCGUUGUGAAAGCCCCGGGCUCAACCUGGGAAUGGCAAUGGAAACUGGCGGGCUAGAGUGUGGCAGAGGGGGGUGGAAUUCCGCGUGUAGCAGUGAAAUGCGUAGAGAUGCGGAGGAACACCGAUGGCGAAGGCAGCCCCCUGGGCUAGCACUGACGCUCAUGCACGAAAGCGUGGGGAGCAAACAGG